rnacentral:lncRNA from 10 species
GGGCGGUUCCCGCACCCCAGAAGGAGGGGGCGCCCGGCCGCGCGGACUUUCCCUUUUGCAGUGUCCCACAGGGAACUGUCUCUUGUGCCCCUCUAGCAUAUAUUUUUAUCUAUGAAGGAUUUAACUAUCAAUCAUAGGCACAGGCAACUCCAUGUCCCAGUCAGUAGGAAAUAAGAAGUCAGUGUGGAUUAGGGAUUCUAACAGUACCACUGUCACUCCAUAACCAACUGAAAAUUUGACAUUGUUCUAUACCUCUUAAUUUGCACUAUGGUAUAAAAAGGAACUUUCUAGCAGGUACGAAUCCCUCUAAAUGGGCAUCUUUUGUUCAAAUGCUCCUUCCCUGGCUUGGAAUAAAUGUAAAUGAGGUUAUGAUUAGAAAUCCCCUUCAAACAUUAGCUACUACAGCUCACUCUACUGCAAAGGCUAUAUAGUUGCCCAGUGAAGUUCUCUAAAUUCUCUUGCUAAAGUUUCUUUAAAUAACAGGAUUGCCUUGAACUAUCUGUUGGUUUGUAGUGGGGCAGGGGGUGUGAUAGGGGACACUGUGUAUAAUAGCUAAUACAUCCUACUGCACUUGCAUAAAGGAAUCUGUUAUAAAGAAAAUGAAAUAAAGGUAUAAAAGUUGGCAAGAAGAAAACCAUCAUUAUGUCUUGAGGAUGAUUGGGGAUACAGAAAAUGAGAAGAAUCCACAAACUAUUAGAAUUACUAAGUUAAUUUAGCAAGGUUGCUCAAUGCAUGGUCAGUAUACAAAAUUUAAUUGAAUUUCUACAUAUAUGUAUAUGCCAUAUUGUGUUAGAUUGUUUUGCAUUGCUAUAAGGGAAUACCUGAAGCUGGGUAAUUUAUAAAGAAAAGAGGCUUAUUUGGCUCAUGGUUCUGCAGGCUGUACAAGCAUGGCACUAGCAUCUGUUUGACCUUAGGAAGCCUUUACUCAUGGUGGAAGAAGGGGGAGCAGGCAUGUCAUAUAGUGAGAGAGGGAGUGAGAGGGAGGGAGCAAGAGUGAAGGGGGAGGUCCCAGACUCUUUUUAAAUAACCUGAAAUCCUGUGAACAGAGUGAAAACUAACUUAUUACCAUGAAGAGCACACCAAGCCAUUCAUGAGGGGUAUACCUUCAUGACCCAAACGCUUUCCACCAGGUCCUACCUUCAACACUGGGGAUCACAUUUCAACAUGAGAUUUGGAGAGGACAAACAUCCAAAUCAUAUCACAUAUAUAAAUAUGUAAAACUAUUUUAAAUGUUUUUAAAGUAUCGAAUAGAAAUAAAUCUCACAAAAUAUGCUUAAGAACUUUAAGCAAAAACCAUAAAAUACUAUUGUGAUAAGUUAAAGAAGACCUAAAUAAAUGGAGAGAUCUGUCAUGCUCAUGGAUUGGAAGAUUCAAUACUGUAAUGAUAUGAAUAGUUCCCAAAUUGUUCUAUAGAUUCAAAACAUUGCCAGUUAAAAUCUCAGUGGACUUUGUUUUUUUGAAACUGACAAGCUGAUUCUGCCAUUUAUAAUAAUAUUCAAAGGGGCAAGAAUAACCAAGACACAUUUGAAGAAGAACAAGGAGGAAGAAGAACGUAUUUGAAGAAGAAUAAGGAACUCUAUUAAGUGUAUAUCUCCUAUAUAUUGAGAUACACAUUUGAAAUACAUCUAUCACCUAGAUAUUGAGAUAUAUUAUACAUUUAAUAUAGUGUGUUGCUGGUAUAGGGAUAGACAAAUGAACAUUGGAUCAGAAUAGCACUGAAACAAGAUCUACCCCUAUAUGGGCAUGUCCCUAUUAACAAAAAAAUAUUGUUGAUUAUUUCCUCAAGAUGAUCUGUAAAAAACAAGUUAAUUGAACAUCCAUAUGGGAAAAAAGUGAAUCCUUCUGCUACCUCAAAUAUCAACCCCAGGUAGAUUAUAGAUCUAAAAGUGAAAGGCAAAGCAAUAAAGAUUUUAGAAAAUAACAAAGAGAAUAUCUUUAUGAAAAUACAGGAAAUAUUUUAAAAAUAGGCUAGAAAACUCACUAUUAAAAUAUAUAAAAUAUAAGAACAUCUGUUCAUCAAAAGUACUAUAGUUUGAAUAGCAGUGUCUCCUCCAAAAUUCAUAUUGAAACUUAAUCCCCAUUGUAACAGUACUAAUCCUAAAACUAAGUAUUAAGAGGUGUGACCUGUGGGAAGUGACUAAGUCAUGAGGGGUCUUUCCUCAGGUAUGGGAUUAGCAUCCUUAUAAAAGGCCUUGAGAUGGAAUGUAGUGCCCCCUUGCCCUCUUGCGUUCUCCCAUGUGAGGACACAGCAACAAGGCACCAUCUUGGAAGGAGAGAGAAGCCCUCACCAGACAACAGUGCACAUGCCUUGAUCUUAGACUUCCCAGCCUCCAGAGCUAUAAUAAAUACAUUUCUGUUCUUUAUAAAUUACUUGGUCUCUGGUAUUUUGUUACAGAAGCACUAAUGGACUAAGACAAAAAGAUUCCAUUAUGAAAGUGAAAAGGCAACCGCAGAGUGGCAGAAGCUUUUGGAGAUGAUGAAUAUGUUUACUUCCUGGAUUGCGGUGAUGAUACCAUGAGUGUAUACAUAUGUGUGUAUACAUAAUGUAUACAAAUUGUGUUCAUUGAUUAUGUACAGUUUCUUUGUAUACCAAUUAUACCUUAAUAAAGCUAAGGAAAAAAAAAAGAAAAUCCAGAAUAAAUAUGCAUGGUAUGACCCAUUUAUUUAAAAAAAAAAAGAGGGAAUGCGAAGCAGUGGUUUUGGUGCGAACACAAAAAUUCUGGCUUCAACAGCAUUUAAAUUCCCAAACCAAGCAUGUUUGUGUUUUAAUUCUUUGUGGCCAUAAAUUGUACAGCUCAGGCCUUUAUAGUCUCUCAGAUUCUGUGAAUGUGGGGAAUUAGUUUUACUCAUAAAAAGUUUUGUUCUUGGGGAUAAAUUUUUUAAAAAAAUUUUUGUAUAGUUAGCACACUGAGAAAAUACAGACAAAGGCAUACAGAUGCAAGAAAUGAGGUAGCUGAAUAGACCAAAGAAUGAUAUAGGGCCCAGAAGGUAGGCAAAGAGAAAGUUGUUGGGUUUAUGGUUACAAGUAAACUAGCAGUUGUGGUGCAGAUAGUUUUAUUUCCCCCACAUUAAUCUGAACAGCCCAUCCAGACUUAAACACUGCUUUUUGCAUUUACUUCUAGGCAGGAAGACAGGGUUCUGAUGGUGUGAGUCUCCUUCAACUCAGCAAACCACCUUGGUCUGCCUCGAGUUUCCAACACCCCUCCUGCCUGCUAGUGAUAGGUGUGAGGCAGGUUGAUGAACAUGGAACUUUUUUCUUUUGGUCCCAAAGCAUGCUACUCCUGGAG